rnacentral:rRNA from 1 species
UACGUAGGUGGCAAGCGUUGUCCGGAUUUACUGGGCGUAAAGAGCGCGCAGGCGGUCGUUCAAGUCGCGUGUGAAAGCCCCCGGCUCAACUGGGGAGGGUCACGCGAUACUGAUCGACUCGAAGGCAGGAGAGGGAAGUGGAAUUCCCGGUGUAGUGGUGAAAUGCGUAGAUAUCGGGGAGGAACACCAGUGGCGAAGGCGACUUCCUGGCCUGUUCUUGACGCUGAGGCGCGAAAGCGUGGGGAGCAACAGGAUUAAGAAACCCGUGU